rnacentral:rRNA from 1 species
GAAUGCGUCUGAUCAAAGCUCGUCCUUGUGGCGUGGUGGGUUCUUACCUUCUGAAUAACCAGCAUGCCAUUUACUUGGUGCGCUGGGGAAGCAGGACUAUUACCUUGAAAAAUUAGAGUGCUCAAAGCAGGCCAGUGCCUGAAUACAUUAGCAUGGAAUAAUAAAAUAGGACGGCAUGGUUCUAUUUUGUUGGUUUCUAGGAUCACCGUAAUGAUUAAUA